GGGACCCAGAAGGAAUUUCUUUUAAAUGCUUAUCAAUGUUUUUGAUACCAUGGACUGUAACAGAUUUCCAGUGUAGAAAGCAGGCGGCUGUCAGGCAUGGUUUGGAAAGUUACAGAUUGUUAAGAGAAAAGAAAAAAAGAGACAAAAAAUUUAUUUCCAUGAGAUUUUCCUUUCCUAAAACAGUUAGCACUACUAUAGAUCCAGCUCUCUGUGUCACCAGCAUGAGAAGCAUGGAAGAAAUGCAGUUUUUGUCCCAAUGUGUAGGAGUUUGAGAAAAGUCCCAUAAAGAGUAUUUCUAUAGCUUUGAGCUCCAAAACCAAACAAAACCCAACAGCCCCUCCUUCCCCCCCAUUUAAAUGUGGUUGGAAUAGAUGGAACAAACCACAAAGCAAACUAAUGCAAAGAUGUCUGACAGUCUGUUUUGAGACUCAUUUCAAGGUGAGGUGUGUGGCAUUUAGCUGGUUGUAAGAAGCUGUUCAGAGUCCAUUAUUUUGAGGUUUGAGAAUCUAGGUAUUCACAUUUAGAAAUAAAUUUCACUGGUAUUAGUUUCACUGUUUCACUGUUUCCGAUUCCAGGUUCCAUGUGCUGUUGUUACAUUAAUAAAUAGCACAGCCAAUAAAAUAUAUUAGGUAUGGCAGGAGACAUUGUUAACAGCUUCCGCUGUUCCCAUGGAGGUGAGAUGUGAAUGAAGAGCUCAACUUAUGUUUUGAAGAUGAGAACACAACUUUGCUGCUGUGCUUUCACCUAUCCAAACCUCCUAACCCUGGAGUGAGACAGGCAAUAUCAGUAUUUGUCUUCUGUGAUGCUGUGCCAUGAAUAAUCUCAGUAGAGAGUCUACCAGAGUUCUAGUUGCAAUCCUGAGAAGUUGAUCUGGUUAUGUUUUGGCACUUCUGUGGUAUUUGUAUGGAUGCUUGUUCAGCAUACGAAAGAAGCACCGAAGGACUGUUUUUCAGACAAUACAAAUGUAGACGUGGGUGGCCUCCUAGAUAUCUUCAGCUCUUCCUCCAACUUGCUCCACUUCAAUGAAUGUUAGUGGACAGGGAGAGAGUGCACCACAGGCACUAUUUAGAAUGGAAAGACUUUGGCUCAGUGAAAGGAUUUAAUUGUGAAGUACAGAAAACUUGUCUAUGAAGCUGUGACGAUGGAAAUGAAGUUGACGUUCCAGCCAUCCAUGGAUACCUCAUCCCAAAACACUACGGCGCUUCAGGGAAAGUAGGACACCAAAGGCAAGACAGUAGUGUACUGGAAACUUAUCCCGAUUGCAUUGGUUUCAGAGGUGUUGGCCAGCAUGCCUUGACUGAUAUAGCUAUGGCAGUAAAAGUUCCCUGAGUCACUUAGAAGUUUAUAUUGACAAACUCUGGUUUUCCUGUAACACACUUGGAGAUACUAAGAUAAGCCAGUAAAUGUUAUUGGAUCUGUCCUAUUCCUAAGCAGGCGGUGCAGGUCAUGACUUGGCUGGUUGUGUUGAACUGGCAGAGCCCUUCAGUUACACAUCUCAUGCUGCAGAGUGGAAUGCGAUUCUUGAGGCCCAUGGAAUGUGGGCUUCCUCACCCGUGAAUCUGAAGGAUGGUGU